AGAGUUAGCCUUGAAGGUUGCGGGUUUAAAUCCCGAGGAAAGUCCGGACACCCGAAAGACCAAACUUGCUGGAUAACGCCCAGUGCGUGUGAACGCGAGGAAAGUGCCACAGAAAAAUACCGCCAAUGAGUUGAUCGCUCAUUUGGUAAGGGUGCAAAGGUGCGGUAAGAGCGCACCAGCAGUAUUGUGAAAUACUGGCUCGGUAAACCCCGGUUGGGUGCAAGGUGGAGGAACAAAGGUUGGUCUUUUUCCUGUUCCGCUUGUUUGGAACCGCUUGAGGCGUUUGGUAACAAACGACCCAGAUAGAUAACCUUCCUUUCAAGUAUAGUAGCUUGCUACAGCUUGGAAUGAACAGAACCCGGCUUAUGUCUGACUCUCUUC
rnacentral:RNase_P_RNA from 1 species